rnacentral:rRNA from 1 species
UACGGGGGGGGUAAGCGUUGUUCGGAAUUACUGGGCGUAAAGGGCGCGUAGGCGGCCUGCUAAGUCGGACGUGAAAUCCCUCGGCUCAACCGGGGAACUGCGUCCGAUACUGGUGGGCUCGAAUCCGGGAGAGGGAUGUGGAAUUCCAGGUGUAGCGGUGAAAUGCGUAGAUAUCUGGAGGAACACCGGUGGCGAAGGCGGCAUCCUGGACCGGUAUUGACGCUGAUGCGCGAAAGCCAGGGGAGCAAACGGG